rnacentral:rRNA from 1 species
CGGAUUGAAGGCUGAAAUUCGCCUUCCAUGAAGCCGGAAUUGCUAGUAAUGGCAGGUCAGCAUACUGCCGUGAAUACGUUCCCGGGCCUUGUACACACCGCCCGUCACACCAUGAGAGUUGGGAAUACCCGAAGCCUGUGAGCUAACGUAAGAGGCAGCAGUCGAAGGUAGAAUCAAUGAUUGGGGUGAAGUCGUAACAAGGUAGC